AAAUGAAUAGACGGGGGCCCGCACAAGCGGAGGAACAUGUGGUUUAAUUCGAUGAUACGCGAGGAACCUUACCCGGGCUUGAAAUGCGGUGGACUGGCAGAGAGAUCUGCCUUCCCUUCGGGGCCGCCGUGUAGGUGCUGCAUGGUUGUCGUCAGCUCGUGCCGUGAGGUGUCGGCUUAAGUGCCAUAACGAGCGCAACCCUCAUCGUUAGUUACCAUCAGGUGAUGCUGGGGACUCUAGCGAGACUGCCAUCGUAAGAUGCGAGGAAGGUGGGGAUGACGUCAAAUCAGCACGGCCCUUACGUCCGGGGCGACACACGUGUUACAAUGGGUGGUACAAAGGGCAGCUACAUGGCGACAUGAUGCCAAUCCCCAAAACCACUCUCAGUUCGGAUCGGAGUCUGCAACUCGACUUCGUGAAGCUGGAUUCGCUAGUAAUCGCGCAUCAGCCACGGCGCGGUGAAUACGUUCCCGGGCCUUGUACACACCGCCCGU
rnacentral:rRNA from 1 species